rnacentral:misc_RNA from 1 species
GAUGAAGAACGCAGCGAAAUGCGAUAAGUAAUGUGAAUUGCAGAAUUCAGUGGAUCAUCGAAUCUUUGAACGCACAUUGCGCCCGCCAGUAUUCUGGCGGGCAUGCCUGUUCGAGCGUCAUUUCAACCAUCAAGCCCCCGGCUUGUGUUGGGGACCUGCGGCUGCCGCAGGCCCUGAAAAGCAGUGGCGGGCUCGCUGUCACACCGAGCGUAGUAGCAUACAUCUCGCUCUGGGCGUGCUGCGGGUUCCGGCCGUUAAACCACCUUCAUAACCCAAGGUUGACCUCGGAUCAGGUAGGAAGACCCGCUGAACUUAAGCAUAUCAAUAAGCGGAGGA